ACAAAAAAUGAUGCACAUAAUGAAUAAAAUUUUUUAAGCAUUAAAACAUUAUUUGAUCCUCAUCUGAAGUGAUACCUUCCCUUUCUCUCAAUGUUCCCCCUUUUCUGGGAUUCCCAACUCUAGUCUCUCAUUUUUAUCAGAAUGUGUGUUAGAAAUUCUUGUUUCUGGUUUCCAACCUAUUUCAGUUAAUCCCCUUUCUACCAGGAAUUAAAUAUAUUGGUCUGUUGGGUUCUUUCCAAAACUAGUGUCUGUCAUAUUAUUGGAGAGGAAAGUUAUGGCAUCAGACCCAGCGUUUGAACAUAUUGCUCUGUUGUACGUGCACUGUACAAAGGACCACAGCACACAGGAAUUGCCAAAAGAUUGAGGGAAGUACAUCUACUUCUUUCGAUAAUAUAGUUUUCUCAUUUUCCACAUCUCCAUAUCUAUAUCCUCUCUCUCGUUCUCCCUUUGUAUCUAGUUAAUAAAUCCACCAAUCUUCGUGGCCCAUCUCACAAAACUCAUUCUUUCAUUUUAUACGUAAUGCUUUCUUCAAGAUGUAAUGUGGUUAUAAUGAAGCAAUGUAACUACAAAGACAGGCGGGAGGAGCUGGUCAGAGUUAAUUGGAAGGGGAGCUGAGCAGGAAAGACCAUGGAGCAGCAAUAGCAGGAGUUUCUGGGGAUAAUUCGGAAGAUAAUACCAGAAAUGCAACCCCAAGCUGAUGAAACAUACUCAUGGGAGGACAAGGCAGCCAAGAGUGAUAAGGCAUCAAACCAAAAGAGGAAACAUGCAAUGUGGUGAAGAUGAUUGGGAAUCCAGAGAAUUAACUGGCUCUGAAACUACAUAACUCUGGUAUCACUGACACUACAGAGCUCUUAAUCAUUGUCAGGGAGAGAAACAGAGGAAACACAUUCACUUUAAACACAGAAGAUGGCAUUUCUCAAGGAAUAAGAUUCAGGUGAAUUAAACAUUUGAAUUAACAUCAGUUAAAUGCUUUUGCAGAAUGUGUCAGAUUGGAGGCAAGACCCGGGGAGACAGACCCUCAGCAGAAUGAGAGUUUGAAAUUGAAGUAUUACCACAUCAGAAACCAGGUGAGGUCACUGAGUACAGGACUGAUGGGUGAAUGGCCUCAGUGAGAAUUGGGGAACAGACAGCAGAAUUGCAUUGCAGAUAUUGCAGCUGGAAACUGUAUUCAUGUAGUGCUGGAGACCACAGCAGCAGGAGAAGCAGACCUGCAUUCAGCCACAACCUGUAACUUUUUGCCAGGAUAACACCUCAGUCUGUCAUUACAAUAAACACCAUCUAUGGCUCAGUGACGAGUGUGGGUGAACAUGUCAGAGUCAGAAUCACAUGAACCUUAACCUGAUGCUAACUCAUUAAAGCUACCAGACUUGACCAACAGAUCUGAACGAAGCCCUGCAGUCCUGCCACAUUCAGUUAUAAAUGGUGAUGGACGAUUAAACAAAUGACUGGAGGAGAGGGCUCCACAAACAUCCCCAUCCUAAAUAAUGGAACAGACCUGCACAUCAGUGUAAAAGAGAAGGAUGUUUUAUCUGCACCAUCCUCUGCCAGAAGUGUUGAGUCGAUGAUACAGCUCACCCUCAUCAUGAUGCCCACAAAAUCACAGACGCCAGUCUUCAAAUAUUUCGAAUUGCUGCAUGUGAGAUGAAUAAACAGCUGAACACAGUAGAUACGACAAAGGCAAUGGGUCCUGACCCCAUUCCUGCAAUAGGACUGAAGACUUGUGCUACACAACAAGCCGUGUCCCUGGGGAAGCUGUUUCAUUCCAGCUCCAACUCUGACAUCUCCCUGGCAAUGUGGAAAAUUACUCAGCUGUGUCCAGUCCCCUAAGAGGGGAAUAAUUACAAUCUGACCAAUUAUCACUCCCUCAUUCCCAUCACGACCGUCAAAUUGUUGGGAGUUCUUUUUGACAGAACUGUCAAGCAGCAUAGAAAUACCCUGCUCAGUGUGGUUUUCGACAGGUCCCCAUGUGGAGAUGGUGCUGUUGUGGAAAUAUCACUGGAUUACUAAUCCAGACCAGGAUAAUGCUCUGGCAGCGGUUGGAAGUUAAAAACAAUUAAUAAAAUAUCGAGAUCUAAAACCUGGGGUCAGUAACAGUGACCUUGAAGCCAAUAUCGAUUGUAAACAGAAUUUCCUUCUCCAAUGUACUUUUAGGAAGUGAAUCUCCCAUGAUUUCCUGGGCUGGCCUAAAACAGACUCCAAAGACCCUGACGUGUGAUAAACAUUUCAAUGGUCUCUGAAACGGCCAAGCAAGGCCACUCAUUUGUAUCAAACUGCUCCGAGGUCUGAAAGGAUGAAACCGGACAGAACACCCGGCCUCAGCAGCAAUGUGGGAAAAGGGAAUGGGAACACAGUCCUGUCGACCCUGCAGAAACCUCCUUACUAACACCUGAGAGCUUGUGACAGCAUUUUACAGAGCUUUUCCACAGACUGCACAGAAACAUCGGGAAUGGAAAACACAUUUGGCCUCCCCAUUCUAAGUUCAUGGAAAAAAAAAUCUCCUCAAUAUACUUACCCCACACGAUAUACAUAUCUGUUAAUCUUUCACUUUGCUCCUCCUUGCUGGUUUUGCGAUCCACCUUACUAGAUUCUGCGGAAUCUGAGCGAUGUGGGCUCUGGGGAGAUUGAUGGUAGAGAUCAUCUCGCUACAUCAUUUAUGAUCUUCUCAAACUUUAAGUUCUCCAGAUCUCCCGUUAUGCUGAUGGAGUAGAGAAGGACAAUGAUCUUCCAACAAUGUUCUGUAUUCCCCCAGAGAGCUGAGACUGCUCUAACCUGGGUCGGAACUUUACAAUAGGCUGGUAAAGUGUUGCUGCUUCUGUACAGGAAGAUUACAUCUGGAGUAGUGUGUACAGAUUUAGCCUCUUCUCUGAAGAAAGGAUGUUGUUAUAUUGGAAGCAGCUCAGAGAUGGUUCCCUCAACUGAUUCCUGCAAUGAAGGUGCUGGCUUAUAACGAAAGGAUGAUCAAGUUGACCCAGUAGCCAUUGGAGUUUACAAAAAUUAAAGAUGAUCUUAUUUGAACAAAGUUGACAGAAGGAGUUAACAAGUGAAGGGAAUUACACAGAUAGUGGAGGAAUCCAUUCCGUUCUCCAGCCUGUUACACAGGAACAACAGGAGGAUAUUCAGGCCUUUGACCCUGAUACAACAAAACAGGAUGAGGCUAUUCAGCCCCUGGAGCCUGAUAUACAUUUACAGAAGGAGGCCAAUCAGCCCCUCGAGCCUAUAACAGUAGGCCAUGCUGCACCAGUAUCCUGUUCAACAGCAACAGGAGCAGUCUAUUCAGCCUCCUCAAGUCUGUAACAUAGGAACUGGAAGAGGUCACACAGUGACUCGAGGUUGUUACACUGGGAUAACAGGAGGCCAUUCAGACCCACCGAGCCUAUUGCAAGGGAAUUGGAUAAGGACAAAAACUAUCUGAGACUUCUUUCAUGAGAAACGAAGAGGUAAUUUAUACACGUGUUUGUUUUAUGGGAAUAAGAGACGACGAAUCAAUCCCUCGGUCCCAUCUCCGGGAUACAUGAGGAGACCGUUCAGUAUCUCCACCUGUUAUGGAGAAGUAUGAGAAAACCCAUGAGCCCCUCAAAUUGUUACACAGCAGCAGGAAGAUUCCAUAACCUCCCAAUCCUCAAAAGCAUCAACAGGAGGAGGUCAUUCUGGCCUUGGAGAUGGCAACAUGGGAACACCAGAAAGACAUCAGCCAAUCGAGUUUGAAUACCAGCAAGAUGAUGAGUCCAUUCAGACAUACAUGGCUCUUACACAGCAAUUGGAGCAGAUCUCUUCAAGCCUUGUGCCCAUAAAACAGGAAUUCAAAGAAAACAUGAAGGUUUUCGAAAGGGAAGAACUUGUAAUAAUGUAAUACAUGAGCGACUAAAGUUUAACAAUAAACUAUUGUAAUUUAA